AAACACUGAGGGAGACCUAAAUGCAACAUUCGGAAAGCUUGCAGAUCUUAGGAGCAUGAUCUAUAAUGUUGCUCCUGAAAAUAGACGUGAGAUGAGAGACCUUGUCUCAAGUGUUAUUGAUGGGAUGCUUCUUCCACGGCUUUCGGAGAUGACAAAGAUUGACAUGACGGUAACAGCAACUCGGGACGAUUUGUCACUGUUGUCAACGACUUCUCGGGCAGAAAAGCGGACGGACUUCGCAG